rnacentral:lncRNA from 1 species
GCACAAACCUUAGGGUUUAUCAUUCAUCCGAAUCCAAUGAUAAAAGAAUGAUGUAUGAAAAAAUCAAUCAAAAUAUAUGGAAGGUGAUUUCCUAUGUUCUGCAUGGAAUGAAUAUGUCAAAGAAUGUAAAACACAUCCAAAAAUGCCAUGAAUACAAGCACAUGAGAAAAGAUGUGUUUGGAAAAGAAUAUUUUACAAAGCAAAACAGUUUUGGCCAACAGAUGUCAUUUUCAAAUCUUUGGAUAUUUUUGUUCUGGAAUUUAAUAUUGGCAGAAGUAUGACAAAAAUGAGAAGAAAUCCAAAUGAACCAAGUCACCAGCUGUUCC